ACAUAAAUCCAUUCAGUGAAGAGGGAAUUUCAUUAACAAACUCAGAGUUUCCAAGAAAAGAAAAUGCAACGGAGAGCAGCUGAAAUUAUAUGUGCUACAGAUUGCCAUUGUGAUUCCUCCAAAAGCUUUCAGUCAGAAGGUUAAACAAG